rnacentral:rRNA from 1 species
GAUGAACGCUGGCGGCGUGCCUAAUACAUGCAAGUCGAGCGAACAGACGAGGAGCUUGCUCCUCUGACGUUAGCGGCGGACGGGUGAGUAACACGUGGAUAACCUACCUAUAAGACUGGGAUAACUUCGGGAAACCGGAGCUAAUACCGGAUAAUAUAUUGAACCGCAUGGUUCAAUAGUGAAAGACGGUUUUGCUGUCACUUAUAGAUGGAUCCGCGCCGCAUUAGCUAGUUGGUAAGGUAACGGCUUACCAAGGCGACGAUGCGUAGCCGACCUGAGAGGGUGAUCGGCCACACUGGAACUGAGACACGUUCCAGACUCCUACGGGAGGCAGCAGUAGGGAAUCUUCCGCAAUGGGCGAAAGCCUGACGGAGCAACGCCGCGUGGGUGAUGAAGGUCUUCGGAUCGUAAAACUCUGUUAUUAGGGAAGAACAAAUGUGUAAGUAACUAUGCACGUCUUGACGGUACCUAAUCAGAAAGCCACGGCUAACUACGU